rnacentral:tRNA from 1 species
UAUACUCUAGUGUAAGGGCACGUUAGAUUUUGAUUCUUGAGGCAAUGGGUCAACCCCAUUGAGUAUAA